UACGGGGGGGGCAAGCGUUGUUCGGAAUUACUGGGCGUAAAGGGCGCGUAGGCGGUUGGAUAAGUCAGCUGUGAAAACCACGGGCUUAACUCGUGGCCUGCAGUUGAGACUGUCUGGCUUGAGUGUGGGAGAGGAGAGUGGAAUUCCUGGUGUAGCGGUGAAAUGCGUAGAUAUCGGGAGGAACACCGGUGGCGAAGGCGGUUCUCUGGGCCUGUACUGACGCUGAGGAGCGAAAGCGUGGGGAGCGAACAGG
rnacentral:rRNA from 1 species